GAUGAACGCUGGCGGCGUGCCUAAUACAUGCAAGUCGAACGAAAAGACGAGGCGCUUGCUCCUCUGACGUUAGCGGCGGACGGGUGAGUAACGCGUGGAUAACCUACCUAUAAUACUGGGAUAACUUCGGAAAACCGGAGCUAAUACCGGAUAAUAUAUUGAACCGCAGGGGGCGAUGGAGAGAGACGGUUUUGGUGGCAGUUAUCGAGGGAUACGCGCCGGAUGAGCUGGUUGGGAAGGUAAAGGCUUACGAAGGGAACGAGGCGUAGCCGACGGGAGGGGGUGAUCGGCCACACUGGAACUGAGACACGGUCCAGACUCCUACGGGAGGCAGCAGUAGGGAAUCUGCCGCAAUGGGCGAAAGCCUGACGGAGCAACGCCGCGUGAGUGAUGAAGGUCUUCGGAGCGUAAAACUCUGUUAUUAGGGAAGAACAAAUGUGUAAGUAACUAUGCACGUCGUGACGGUACCUAAUCAGAAAGCAACGGCUAACUACGUG
rnacentral:rRNA from 1 species